rnacentral:lncRNA from 1 species
ACUGAUAAAAAUAAUAAAUGCAUGUAGAGAAAAGAUAAACCUAAUCAACCCAAGUCAUUUCACCGACAGUUGAACUCCACAAUGCUUUUUGAAUCGUUAUUUCAAGGUUGUCCAUCCAUUAUGUCGAUAGCUCUGCCCAAAAAGAUACAUCCAUUGCUAUCCCUUAAACUUCACCCACUGUUUUCUAUCAUCUUCUAGUCUGGUCUCCUUCCCCAACGUUCUUCCGGAAACGAGUUUGGUAGAUUCGGGUCUUCUUGAACUAGGUAAGAGGUUACUUCGCUCGCUAAAGCUUCUUUUGCAAUCUUAUGGGCACACGAGUUUUCUGUUCUGGGAAUAUGUUGGAAUUUUAUUGUUUGAAAAUGAACACUCUUACUUUGAAUGUCCCGUAUGAUUGCUCCUAUUACUGAUUUAUCUGCUUCUGUUGAUUGACACUUUCUGAUUACUGUUCGCGAAUCCCCUUUGAUUUGUACUUCUUGAAAACCCAUUGAAAUCCCUAACUUAAUUGCUUCCAAUCUUGCGUAUGCUUCUGCCGCGAACGGAGAUGAAACAUUAUUGUGAAGGACCGCCUUGGAGGCCAGCAAUUCGUCCCUAAGCCCAAACCACCACUCUAGACACAGAUUUGAAAGUUCUUUUGUCAAACGCCGCGUCAAAGUGCACUUUAAUCUUUGGCAAGACUUACAUAUUUCUGUAUCUUCUAGCCUUAUCUGGGUUUUCCUGCUUUGCUAUCGUCCCCUUAUAACUUAGAAUUUUCUGUGCUAGUUGUCUUCCUGUUAUAGACACCUGCUCAUGUACAAACUGGUUUCUGGAAUACCAAGUUAGCCCUAAAGCAUAACAGAAAAGUCGACUCUGCUCCUCAGACUCUUUCAUGAAUACCCAGGUAAUCUAGUUCCAUAACUCAAAGAUUAAGUUAUUAUUGACCCAAGAGAGAUCUAAAAGAUGCCAAACUUCUAUACUUGUAGGACAGUGUCUGAAUAUGUGAGGGCAAUCCUCAUCCCUUGAGCUACAACGGAGGCAUUGGACGUUCGUGAGUACUUGUAAAUGCCUAAAUUUCAACGAUGUCGAAAAUAGUGGUUUUAGACCAUCAAAUCCGACAAAUGAACUCGUAAAUUAUAUUAUUUAAUAUUUACGAGCCAAAUGUAGUUUUUAAAAUAUUUUUAGAAUAGUAAAUUGUGUUUUAUAAAGAUUUAUUUGGUCAAGAAAUUAAGAAAAAGAGAUAUCGAGAUCUCGAUGUUAUAAACCGAGCUAUAAAUAUUUUUAUAAAUAUUUACGGAAUGUCAAUAAGGUAGUAUUAAAAUUUCGUUAGAAAAUUUUGACGUUUGGGUGGUCAAUUAAAUAAAAAGGAUUAAAUUGGAAAAUGUGUAAAAGUUGCUAAAAGGAUUAAUAGUUCAAUUGUCAAAUGAGGAAGGACUUAAAGUGAAAAUAAGCUCAAAGGAGAUAAUUUGGGCGGCAAUAGCUGAGAAAAAUCAGGAAAUGGGUGAAAUAAGGAUAAAAUUGGAAAAUUAUCAAAAAUAGCUAAAUAAAAAUGGGACUAAAUUGGAAUAUCUAGAAUUCUCUUUAUUUCUCUUCAUAUUCAUCAGAUGAAAAACAGCCAUGGAAGGGGGAAAACAGCAAUGGAAGGGGGUUCAAGCUGGUUUUCAUAUUUUAGCUUCAUGUAAGUUUAAUUCUUGCUUUCUCCUUGAAAUUUCUAUAUUUUUGAAAUUUUACAAUUGGGUCUAACUUACUAUUUCAUUAGUUUUUGAUUCCAUGACUAAUUUUUAAAAUUUUUAUGGAUGAGUGCUAAAAUAAUAUGAUGAAUAAUCAUAGAAUUGAAUCUUUACUUUUGGUAUAUAAUGAUUUUAUCAAGUACAAUUGAUGGAAAUUCAUUUUAGGACCUAAUUAAGAAAGAGUUUGGAAUUAAUGUCUAAUGCUAAAGUUCUGAUUUUUAGGGGUUAUGAAGAAGUUUAAAAUUAUAAAAUAAAGUAUUAAUUGAGAAAAAUUAUCUCAAUUGAGGGGUUAAUUGAGCAAGGACUGAAUUGUAUAAACUGUGAAAUUUGAGGCAAAAUGGAAAUUAAUAUUUUUCACUAAAACUGUUUUGGAUAGCAGCAGUAGUGUAACUUUGAAAAAUCACCAAAAAUUGUAUAAAUCUGAUUAGAAGAUUAUUAAAAUAUGAAAUUAAAGCUUAUUGAGUCUAGUUUCUUAUAAAAGAAAAGAUGUAAGCAAUGGAAUUGUGAAUCAUGAGAUAUAAUAAAUUUUAUGAGACAAGGUCAGAAUGAUUUUGGGUUCCCAUGUUUUGACUUUGGAAAAUCAUAAAAAAUUGGAUAAAAAUAAUUAGGGGCUUAAAUUUAUAUGUUUAGAAUCCUUAAUGAGCCUAUUUUCCAUAAAAACAAAUUACAAUAUCAUUUGAAUCUUGUACGAGGAUAUAAUCAAUUUUUAGUGAAGAAGAGUCAGAACUGUUAGACAGUAGAACAGGGGUAACAUUAAAGAAUAAACUGUACUUAUUAGCUAAACCAAAAAUUCUAAAAAUUUGAAGGUAAGAAGAUAUAUGAGUCUAGUUUCAGGGAAAAUUAUCAGAUCUUAAUUUGAAGUUAUAUAGCUCCAAAUAUAAAUAAUUUAGUGAUUAUGAUACAGAUGGACAGCUUGAAAAUUCAUAAAAGUAAAUAAUAAAGAUUAUAGAUAAUGUUACUUACAAGUGUGUUAUAUACAUUAAGGAUGUGGAAUGGAGAGGAGGAGGAGGAAAAUAUAUAUGAAUAUUUAGCUAGCAUGGCUAAUUUGCAUGUUUUAGGCUUAAAGACUGAAUUGAAUAAAAGUAAAACAUUAUGAGGUAAUUUUGUAAAAAUGUCAAAAAUGACCAAAUUGAAGGGAAUAAAUUUUUUUAUUAUCUAAAUUAAUAAAUUGAAUGAAAUUUUCAAUUUAAGAUCGGGUGAAAAUUGGGAAAAUAGUAAAUUACCAAAAUGCCUUUUAUCUUGAUAUUUCUACAAUUUCGCCAAGUAAGUUCGUGUAACUUGAAUUAUAUUCUUAAAUGCUUGAAAUGCAUGUUUUUGUUAUAUGAAUAUGAUUUGAAUGUUCAUUAUAUGGAAAUUUAUGAAACAUUGAUAUAUUUGAAAAAAAAG